rnacentral:lncRNA from 1 species
ACUUAUAAAACUAUCAAAAAAAAAUAUUUAUUACAUUCAAAUGAGAAAAAUAUGACUAAAAAUCACAUGUUUGCUUAUGCGUUCAUCAUCUUUCUUUCUCUUUUUCUUGUUCUAACAAAUGGUGGUAAGAUAUUUUUUCACCAGAUUAAAAUUUAUAUCAUACAAAAUAUUAUAUCAAACUUUAGUAACAUUUCUUUCUUCUUAUUUGACAAUGCAGCAAUUACAUGCGUUACCGAUGAUGACUGUCCAAAGGCCCUUCUCCCUGACUAUUAUAAGUGCAUAUAUAAAAUAUGUGUGCUCAUAAGAUAAUGUAACCGAAUUCACAUGAUAUCUGUUAAUAAAAUAAAAAUAAGACAAGUAUGUUUCUUUUGUCAACAUUUAAAACUUAGUAAAUAAUGUUUUUCAAGAAUUACCAUAUUGAUGAAUUAAGAUUCUCAACAAUUAUCGAAAGAAGUAGUGAGGUAUGCUAUUAUUUUAUUAGAGUGUAUAAAGACUAGAACAUCAUUCUGUGAUUCGUUUUGUUUUUGGUAUCCAAAUCUUUUUAGAUCCUCUUGUAUUAAUAGAUUUAAUAUGUCUUGAAUCAUCUCUUUUAUAUCAUUAUUGUCUUGAGUUAUGUCUUUUAUACCAGAAAGGUUUUAAAUGAACAAACUUAUGACAAUUAUUGCAUUUAUAAAUAAAAUAAUGAAACUUCUUCCUAGCACAACAAAUACUGAUAAGAAGUAAAGGAAGAGGAAAAUUUUAAAAAAUUAACAAAAGAAGCAAAGGAAGAAGAAAAUGGAAGGAAAGUAGUAAAUAAAUUCAUUAUUUUUUUCAACCACGUUCAACACCAUCUCUAGCGAUGCAAUCAUUCCACACGUCUCUCUAAACGCCUCUGCGAGCCUCCCCU